ACGGGGGGGGCAAGCGUUGUUCGGAAUUACUGGGCGUAAAGGGCUCGUAGGCGGCCAACUAAGUCAGACGUGAAAUCCCCAGGCUUAACCUGGGAACUGCAUUCGAGACUGCAUUGCUAGAGUAUGGGAGAGGGAAGUGGAAUUUCCGGUGUAGCGGUGAAAUGCGUAGAUAUCGGAAGGAACAUCAGUGGCGAAAGCGACUUCCUGGACCAAUACUGACGCUCAUGUGCGAAAGCGUGGGGAGCAAACAGGA
rnacentral:rRNA from 1 species